rnacentral:misc_RNA from 1 species
CCGAGUUUACAACUCCCAAACCCAAUGUGAACGUUACCAAACUGUUGCCUCGGCGGGGUCACGCCCCGGGUGCGUAGAAGCCCCGGAACCAGGCGCCCGCCGGAGGAACCAACCAAACUCUUUCUGUAGUCCCCUCGCGGACGUAUUUCUUACAGCUCUGAGCAAAAAUUCAAAAUGAAUCA